UCGAGAGUUUGAUCCUGGCUCAGAUUGAACGCUGGCGGCAGGCCUAACACAUGCAAGUCGAGCGGCAGCGGGAAAGUAGCUUGCUACUUUUGCCGGCGAGCGGCGGACGGGUGAGUAAUGCCUGGGGAUCUGCCCAGUCGAGGGGGAUAACAGUUGGAAACGACUGCUAAUACCGCAUACGCCCUACGGGGGAAAGAGGGGACCUUCGGGCCUUUCGCGAUUGGAGCGGCCGAUAUCAGAUUAGCUAGUUGGUGGGGUAAAGGCUCACCAAGCCAACGAUCCAUAGCUGGUUUGAGAGGAUGAUCAGCCACACUGGAACUGAGACACGGU
rnacentral:rRNA from 1 species